UUUAACAGUUUGGGGACUUUUGCUCUUCUUUUUCUUCUCUCACACACUCUUUCUCUCGCUCUUUUCUGUGGUGUGUGUGAUGCAGCAGCAUUUAGAGUGUCGUUCGAUAGAAAAGAGAUAGAAAGAGAAGGGAAAUAGAGCGAGAGAGAGAAGCAGGAAAAGAGAGAAGAGAAGAAAUUGUUGUUUGUCUCGGGGAGAGUGAGGGGCAGUGGAGCAGUGAUGCGGCGGGAAGCACCGGUAUCAUGGAGUUCUCAGUGUUCAGAGGAGAGAGGGGCAGUGGGACGCGGUUUGCUUGUGUUAGUGUUUCCGAGAACACACACAUGCUGUAUUCUGGCAGUGUUCAGAGUUAAUCCCCACUCAGCCACGCUCCACGCUCACGCUGCAAGACGGCAAAUGUAACACAAAAACACGCUGGAAAAAGACAGGACGGUGUCUAUUAACACACGACUCUUUUAUCAAGAAUUCAUGGAUUAUUUCAGAUCUCUCUUUCUCCUUGAUUUGCUUCCAAACACUAUGUUUUUCAAGUGAUUUUACUACUGAUGCUGCAUUGUCUUAUGAUCCAUAACCUGUAAUAAUAAAGCUUGUAUUUUAUUUUAGAAAUGAAUGUUAAAAGAGUCCAGCCUUUAUUGUGUUUGAAUCCAUCACAUCACGCUGUGCUUGUAU
ensembl:lncRNA